rnacentral:lncRNA from 1 species
GUGCUCACCUCCGAGUGCCCCCUCCUCCAUCCCCAGCUGAGGGGACAGAGUGAAUUUGAUCUGCUGAUGUUUGGGGAGUGGGCAGGAGAUGAGAAUGUUCCUCCAGCUGUGCUGGGGUGCUGUCCCUGUCCCAGCCUGGCUCAUGGCAGUGUGGGCUCAGGGCCCUGGCAGCUGCCACAAGCACUGCCACAUCUUCCUCGACAUCUCAGCUGCCCCGUGCCACUGAGAAGGAGCAAAAAGCAAAAGGGGGUUUGGAUGUGAGAUCCCAGCUCUGGUCUCUUUUAAUCUCUGCUGACCUGUGAAUUAUUUUUGCUCAGUUCACACCUCCUGCAGGAGCUGGUGCUGCUGUUUGUGAACCAUCUCAGCCUUUGCUGUGCUCCAGACCCCACCAAGCCCUGCUCCCCCCUCAGCCUGAGCCAUGCUCAGCUCCUCCUCUCUGGAAACCUUCAGGAUUUUCCAGCUGCAGGACUGGAACCCCCUUUGUCCCCCAGAAAUGCUCCCCCAGAGCCUGGGCACCCUCGCUGGCUCUCAUCACCAGCGUUUCCCUCGUGUGACCCUUCUGAGCCCUUCUCCUCCUCCAGCAGCCUGGCCUUGGCAUUCAGCCUGAUCUCACCCCUGUCCAGCCCAGGGCUUUGCCCUCAGGUGUCCAGCACACUCCCAGGAGCAGGACAGGAGCAUCCCCUCCCCUCCAGAGGGAAAUCCCAGCAGAGCUGGAGCUCCUUCCCUGUGAUCCAGCAGAAACCUCUGAGCUCUUUGGACACAAACUUCUGUCAACGUGGUGUAAAAAACCAGGGAAACACCAAAUCCUCAUUCUGUCAUCUCUGCCUGUGCUGCUCUCUCACUUCCUGCUCUCCCCAUGUACCUAAUUUGUCUUUAUUACCAGAGCAAAGCAAGGCUGAUAUUUACACUUCCAGCAAUGCAUGCAAGAGACAAAAAAUAAAUGCUGGGGUUUGACUCAUAAAUAAAGCAUGUUUUGUAGUCA